AUUUCUUUUUCAAACCUGAGGUUUUCGGUCUCUCUCAUAUUUUUUUUCUCUCUUUCAGCUUCAAAACUCAACCCUAAUCUAUCUUCAAUCCUAAAAACCAUCUUCCAUCUUCAAAGCUCAACCAUUUUCAUCGCCUUCCUCCGAGCUUUCUACAUGACAAGAUCGUUGGAGAAAAUUUUCUUUUUCAUCUUCCUAUUCGUCUGCAGUAAAACACGUCCAAUCUCAGAUUUUUGUUGGUGAGUUAUGAGUUAUGGGUUAUGCCGCUUCGUAUGGAGUUGCCGGUUUGGUUCCACCGUUCGUAUUUCACCACCAAUGUCACUAUUUUCCUCAAGGCUGUAGGUGAUAAAUAUAUUAUAUUGCAAGGAUUGUUGAGUUCUUUGAAUAUGAAGACAAAAUUCUAUAAGGAUACAUCUUUUUGAUUUUGAAAUUAUGAUAUUGUGAUGACUCACGGGAAUGAAUCAAACUGAUUCGGGCGGGUUGGGAGCCUUUUCUCAGUCACCGACAACUCAAAACACUCGUACUAUGCAUGAUCUGCAGGAAAAGACAUUGCCAUUUGCCUUUACAUCUUUUAGCUUGCAUGUAAAAUCCCUUGGUACAAAUGUUCCUCUCACGGGGGUUCCGUCUGCAUGUUGGAGUAAAUUUGUAUUUUUGCGCUUGUGUUAUGAAAUUUUCGUUUUACUUUUAUUUGUUUUUCUAGCUGGUGUCAAUCAUGUUGAUGACCCUAUGAAUGUUGACUUUCCCAUUUUGUAGAUGGACUGCGUUUGACAUCGAAAAUAGCUUUGUAAGUGAUUGUUUUGGCAUUGAAAUGGCAGUUGGAAAGUCUCACAGUUUCCAGAUGUUGGAGCCUAUAAAGCCUCCACCUACUAAGAAGCCUCGCAGUUCGUCAGGAAGAUCAUGUUCAAGUGAAGUUAUGGAACAAGAAAUCUGGAAAGAUUUUCCUGAAGAUUUAUUUGAGGCGGUAAUUGCACGGCUUCCUAUUGUCAUUUUUUCCACUUCUGAUCCAGCAAGUUCCUUUUCACUCUAUGGAGGGAGUGUCUGUGCCAAAGUUUCAAUGUUACUCUGUCUAGAUCGUGAAUGGUUUGAAAUUUCAACAAUGGUGAAAACCAGAUCAGCAGACUCACUUAGUUGCUUGUCAUUCAGAGUGGAUUUGAAGCAGAUAAGAUGGAUGGGGAUACUGCAGGUAUGAAUUGAAAUUUAAUGUUCUCGCAAGUUCAAGUUGUGAAACCAAUCAAUAAAUUGUAGAACAUUAUAGAAAAUUCAUGGAACAGCUUCUUUGGUUGUCUAUAUUUAUUUUAAUGUGUGACUACUCUUCUCAUGUUUAUUGCAAAAUAUGAUUCGGGCUACGCAAAUUGCAAGUAAGGAUGCUAUUAUCUUAGUAUACUGUUAUUGUUGUGAGCUUAUUCUAGCUAUAUAGAGCUUGUAGGUGUAAUUUUAAAUCACAAUAGUAUAUCUAUUUUUUCUUUUAUAGCGAGAGCAGGACCAUAUGCAAAAAAAGGACGUAUUUCUCACGCAACAAUCAAAUGACGAGGCAUAAUAAUUACGACAAUGCUCACACGGCUGCGGAGAAUGGACCUAUCUUGCUUGGAGGAUAGCAUUAGCAUCUCAUUUAUUCUGGUACUUUGGGAAGACUAUCCUAACAUUCUACAGCUUACCAUUUUCAAUUUUCUUCUCAUUCUAGAAUCCUAUUUAUGUGGCAUGUGUGACUUAAGAACUUCUGUAGUCAAAUCGAGUUCUGUUCCUGUUCAUAAUUUGAUUUACGUUUUCUGUUCAAAAUUUGAUAUCCAUAUCCUUUAUAUUUAAUGCUCAUAUUAUCUUAAGUUUUCCCCUGCUGUGAGAUUCUUCCUCGACAAAAGAAAAUAGUUUUGUCUAAAUGGUUGGCACAUUUUACAUCCUAUCAUUAUAUAAUUACCAAUAACUUUAUAUGGUUUUGUCACUGAAAUAUGUGAAUUACAUCAAUUGUCAUCAGUUUAAAGGAUUUAAAAACUGCGACAAGGAACUUAAUUCAAGGAACUAUAUGAUUUUGUCAUCAGUCUAAAUUGUUGUCAUUGAAGUGCUUUAGUUUAAAGGAAUUAAAAACUGCGACAAGUAACUUAAUUCAAGUGACAAAUGACGAGCUUUGUUGCGUAAAAGGGUGGAUUGAUGAGAAUACAUUCGCCCCAAUAAACCAGAUUCUGGUUUUGCAAUUACUGUCAGAAAGCUUAACCAAGUGUGCCAUGAGGAACAUAAUGAAUUGUUGGUGAGUUUCAUUCCAGAAACUUUUACUCAAAGCUUGUGAUAUGUUUAAUUGUCAUCUUACUUUAUUAUAGAGAAUAAUCAAUAUUAUGAGACAAUUGAGUCAUCCCAAUCUUGUCGAACUCAUUGGUUACUGCUUAGAAGAUAUCAACCCCAUUUUGGUAUAUGAAUUUUUGGCCGAGAGAAGUUUGGAAAAUCAUUCGUGUAAAAGAUCUUCUAAUGUUUAGCCGCUAUCAUGGAAAAGCCGAAUGAAGAUAGCUCUUGAUGCUGCUAAGGCUCUUGCAUUUCUUCACAGUGAUGAAGUCAAAGUGAUACAUGAAGAUUUAAAUACUUCUAAUAUCUUAAUAGAUUCAGUAAGUGGUUUCUUUUAUCUAACAAACUUACAAAUGAAGAGUUUACCAGUUAGAGGUUUAUAAAUUCUUCUAUGUGAAUGAAAAAAUCACAAUGAAAAGAUACUCGAUUUCGGGUUGGAUAAAAACCAAAGGGUUAUUAGGAGGUGUCAAGAUUAUGCAGCAAUUUACUCAGCACCUGAGUACUUAAUGACGGGUAACUGAUUAUUCUUACUACAUAAUAAAAAUUAGCAAUAACUUUUAAUAUUCCUAACUUUUCUUGCCAUUGUCUUUUAAUUUAAGUUCAACAAACCAAAAAGGGUGAUGUAUACAGUUUUGGAGCUGUUCUGUUGGAAAUUAUGUGGAAAAUGUGCACUAUGAUGGCGAUGAUGAGUGGUCUUCCAAGUCACGGAUUCCUAUAUAGAAGGUCAAUAUUCGCCGCGUGAAGCAAAAAAAGUAGCUUGCAUUGCAAUUUGUUGUCUGUAUGAAACACCAAAAAAUAGACCAAACAUGGAUGAGGUUGUGAGAGCAUUGGAUUUGGAACAACUUCAGGAUUUUGAUGACACAAUUGGAACAAAUUCUCCAUUUUGUGAAAACAUACAUUAUUUUGCAUUUUUGAAUAAACAUUAGGAGACUGAAACAUAUUUUGCUAUCUGUGUCACGCCAUGUUGACAUUAAGAGUAUAUGACUUCACUAAUAUUUCUUAUGAAAAGUAAAGAGGCCAACACAGUAGAAGGAAAUAAGGUAUCAUGA